GUUAACUACAGAACUCUACUAGAAACACCACAUUCCAUGUUGACCAUCAUUAGCUGUAAGUUGCUGCUUGAAGAUAUUGCCAUGCAGGGUUGCAAACUGAAAUGAGGUUUUCUGAAGAUUUACUCCUUCAGAAAUACAGUGUUAUGAUACCCGGUGUUACAAUUGCAAAGAGAUGGAGACACUCUUGUAUUGGAAGCCUCAAAGAAUGACACACAACCAGGUAUUACCCAGCUGAAGCAAGUCCUUGCAUCACUUCGUGUCUUUUAUUGGGAGAUGAAGACUUGGAAUUUGCGGUCAUUCUUCUGGAGGUAGAUGAUGAAAGACAAUGACCUGUUGGUUUUUGAUGAAAGUGUUUUGAUCAGACUUAGGUAAAAUAUCAACAUUUCAUAAUUAUAAAUGAAUUUUACAUUAUUAAUGAAACUUCCUGUUCUCUCUUCUGCAACAUUUCACUGAAAAAAGAAGGAUGGAAAUUUGUCUGUUUUGUAAUUUUCCAAGAUGUCUUUUGUUGAUUCUACUCAGUUUUCUUGAUCUGGACUAUCUGAUCUCUGGUGUUUCCAUGAGUUCUGCUUUCCAGUAUUUCAAUCACUAUUUCAAAAUGCUAUUCUACAGCUGAGGACCAGCAACAGUCAUCCCUGCCUUUGUCACUACAGACUACAGAUACAUAAUAUUAGAAGCUACAUAAGACAACACAGCUGGAAAUUGGAGCUGAAAAAUGACAAGUUUUCUUGUUUUGCUUUUCUAUAAGAAAAAUGACUGGAAGAUGACUGGGGGAAAAAAUCCACAGACCAUAUAAAUAGAAGGGAAAUUAGACACCAGCAGAUCCAGAUGUUCGAUGUCCUUUUGAAAAUAAGGACACAUGCAUGUGUUUGAACUCCACACAGAGCAGCCUGGAGCUGCAGCCUGAAGUAAGUUAUAUUCUGGGGACUACAAGACCUUGAAAAGUUUGUUCUAGAAUCAUAGAAUCAUUUGAAUUGGUAAGAGACCAUUAAAGGUCAUCUAGUCCAACUCCCCAGCGUUGAACAGUGACACCUACAGCUAGAUUGGAGUGCUCAAAGCCUGACCUUGAAUGUCUCCAGGGACAAGGUAUCCACCACCUCCAAGGGCAGUACAUUCCAGUGCUUCACUACCUUUACCUGUCAGAUCCUGCUAAAGAGUCUAUCCCUUCUUUCUUCUAUUCCUCAUAUAGAUCUGAAAGGCCAUUAUCAGGUGUCCUAAGAUGCACUACAAACACAUUACAUCUAGUGUAAUUUCACAACACCUGUAUUUUAUCAUGAUAGAACAGCACUGGUUACUGGAAUUCUUGGUGUGUUCAAAAACGUUAGAAGACAUAUUUUCUUGUAAAAGCAUUAAAUGUAAUGUUAUGAACAAGAGUGUUUCGUUAAAUAAAGCCAAAAUUCCUCUCACAAAGUGCCUGCUUGAUACUAACACAAUCUCUAACUCAAAAAUUAUGACAUUUAUGUUUUUAAGAGGUGUCCUUUCUGUAGCAAAAAAAUGAGGCUUUGUUAUUAUCAAAGAGAAGAAGAUAGUGCAUUGUGCUGAGUUUUCCAAGGAAGUACCACGGACAGCUAAGCAGAGAAUGGAAAAUAAUAGCGACUGUAGUGCAUUAUUAAGAAGAAGCAAUCUUCACCGUUAGGUCUAAUGGGAUAAAUGAUGCAAAACAUUUAAAUCUUGCUUUGUAUAACUAUAGUUAGAUGUUGAAAUGUUACAGCAUUUUUAGAGAGUAAUAGAUGUUAAAAUCAAACUGUUUAGGCUAAGCACUUCAGAAGAAUAAUGAUCUAAUCUUCCAAGAAGAGAAGAAAGGGGAUUUCAUUCUAUUACAAGGCUGUCCUUUAUAUUCACUGAACUCUCUGUUUCAAGAAAAAUACUUGAAAGGCCUCUGAAAAAAUGCUAAAAGGUACAUAUUUUUGAUUUAAUAAGUUAAUGUUAUUCAUAUUUGCAAUUUUAUGAAUUAUUAUGUUUUCAUUACGUACUGCAAUUAUUAAGUGAAAUUCUUUGCUCACUUGUAACCUGUUUUUAGCUAUCUAUGAUGUACUCUUACAGAAUUCACUAGUGAGUUCUUUAUCCACUGAUUAGUUCUCCCUUCCAAUUCAUAUAUUUCUAAUUUAGAGAUAAGGAUGUAAUGCAGGACCUUGCACAAGUCCAAGUAGGCAAUGUAAUUUGCGCUUCUUUUCAACAUUGAUGCUGCCACUCUGUCUUAGAAGGCCAUGAGAUUGGACAGGCACAAUUUACCCUUAGUGUAGCUAUGCUAGCUACCUUGGAUCUCCUCCUCAUCUUGCACGUGCCUUAACAUAGCUUCCAGGAGGAUCUACUCCAUGAUCUUUGCAAGUGUCAUAAACAUGAGGCUCACCUUAACUCUUAAAGGACCUGAUUAGUUAUUAUGCCCUUGUAGUAGCUUUGAUAGCUUUUACCAUUACUCAUUAUAUCAGUCACAUAUUUCAGCAGUUAUAGUUGUUGCAUUUUCAGUUGUAUGAUAAGAGGAGGUACCACAUGAUCAAGAAACAUAGUACAGCAUGACUAAUAUGGCAAUGUUGAUGCCGGUUGUUGAAUUCUAUAUAAAAAUAUAUACUGUCAAUUUGACAAAAGGAUUUCUCUGCCAAAAGGAAAAUUAGGGAAAAGUAAGCAACAGAAAAGUUCUGAGUUUGGAUUUUUCUGUCCACAAGAGUAUGUGCUUGAAGAUAUUUAUAAUAGUUAAAAAAAAAAAAAAAAGUUUUUCAUCCUGAGUUAUUCUUUGCCAUUUAUUGGAAGCUUCAAAUGAAAACUAAGGGUAAUGUUAUCAGUAAUGACAAAAAAAUGGGGGAAAAAUCAGAGAAGUUAAUCAUAUGAAUCUACAAAUUAUUCAGAGUGUAGUAGGAUGUUAUACUGCAGGAGCACUGUUCAUAUGUAGAACUAAUUCUCCUAUGGGACUAUGUGUCCUUCAGAAAGCACAAUAGCUGCAUGUUUUGACAGUUUAAAAAGUAGAAGUAUUUAAACAAGGCAGCAUUAGUGCUUCGUUUAAAGAUAAACCUGUAUUGGCAUAUGAGUUCUUCCUGAGAAACUGAACAAUAGAAGGAAGUAAUAAAACAUGUAGCAGUGUUUUUGCAUGCUUGUAAGGAAAUCCCACUCGGUGGACAAUUCCUGGCCCCUAAAAAUGGGAAGAGGUGUAAGACCUGAAUUUAUAUUAAUUUAUGUUCUAGAUAGUUUAACAAUUAGAAAUGUGUCAAAUAAAAGUUCUGUAGGUGUCUGAACCCUUCUUUUCUUUUGGCUCAAAGCUUGCUUUCUGAGGUAUGUUUUGUGAUAAGACUCUAACUUACUUACCAAGGAGACAAAUGGUGGGUGUCGCCGUGUGGCAAUCAACAUCAACCGU